rnacentral:lncRNA from 1 species
CCAUCACCAAAACCUCAGCCUCCUUAUUAUUAUCACUCUCCACCUCCUCCAACACCAGUUGUUAAGCCACCAUACUACUACCAAUCUCCACCUCCUCCAUCUCCAAAACCUAAGCCUCCAUACUACUACCAAUCUCCUCCUCCUCCAUCACCAAAACCUAAACCUCCUUACUACUACCAAUCUCCACCUCCUCCAUCACCAAAACCUCAGCCUCCAUACUACUAUCAAUCUCCACCUCCUCCAACACCAGUUGUGAAGCCACCAUACUACUACCAAUCUCCACCUCCUCCAUCACCAAAACCUCAGCCUCCUUACUAUUACCAAUCUCCACCUCCUCCAACACCAGUUGUUAAGCCACCAUACUACUAUAAAUCUCCACCUCCCCCAUCACCCUCUCCUCCACCACCAUACUACUACAAAUCUCCACCACCACCAUCCCCAUCACCGCCACCUCCAUACUACUAUAAAUCUCCACCUCCACCAUCACCGGUUGUUAAGCCACCAUACUACUAUAAAUCCCCACCUCCCCCAUCACCCUCUCCUCCCCCUCCAUACUACUAUAAAUCUCCACCUCCAUACUACUACCACUCUCCACCUCCACCAUCACCAGUUGUUAAGCCACCAUACUACUACAAAUCUCCACCUCCACCAUCACCCUCACCUCCCCCUCCAUACUACUAUAAAUCUCCACCCCCACCUUCACCAUCCCCUCCUCCUCCAUACUAUUAUAAAUCACCACCACCACCAUCCCCAUCACCGCCACCUCCAUACUAUUACAAAUCCCCUCCAC